rnacentral:rRNA from 1 species
CCGCCUACGGGAGGCAGCAGNGGGGAAUCUUGGACAAUGGGCGCAAGCCUGAUCCAGCCNUGCCGNNUGAGUGAUGAAGGCCUUAGGGUCGUAAAGCUCUUUCGCCAGAGAUGAUAAUGACAGUAUCUGGUAAAGAAACCCCGGCUAACUCCGUNCCNGCAGCCGCGGUAAUACGGAGGGGGUAAGCGUUGUUCGGAAUUACUGGGCGUAAAGCGCGCGUAGGCGGACCAGAAAGUAAGGGGUGAAAUCCCAGGGCUCAACCCUGGAACUGCCUCUUAAACUCCUGGUCUUGAGUUCGANAGAGGUGAGUGGAAUUCCGAGUGUAGAGGUGAAAUUCGUAGAUAUUUCGGAGGGAACACCAGUGGCGAAGGCGGCUCACUGGCUCGAUACUGACGCUGAGGUGCGAAAGUGUGGGGAGCAAACAGGAUUAGAUACCCUGGUAGUCCACACCGUAAACGAUGAAUGCCAGUCGUCGGGUAGCAUGCUAUUCGGUGACACACCUAACGGAUUAA